CUUUGAUUCACUUAGGGCUUUGACCAGGGUGAUAUAUACAGUUCUAAUUUCAUUCUAUAUGGCAACAUCUAGCUUUCCCAGCAUUGAAGAUGCUAUCUUUUGUCCUCUGUGGGAUUUUGGCAUCUUUGUUGUAAUGGAGGUCUGGCAGCUGUCUUGGAGAUUGCUAAUUUAUUCCUUGGCAUGAACAAAGAAUUGAGUGACUAGGAAAGACAGAAGACCAAUUUGAAGAUAAGGGAAAAUUUACAGCUUUAUCCUGUCAGGAUGGGCAAAACCUAAGGCUUAAAGUCCAUUAAACAGAGGCGGACUUGGAUACUUUAUAGGUCCGUUGGUUCCUUCUUUCCCAUGCUUGUUUUGUCUAUAUACCUGCCCCUGUGCCUGCCUGCCAUUUCUCUUCACAGAGUCUUCUGGGAACAAAAAGCAGCCAUUUCAUAAAGCUUUCUUUUGCUUUCCUUAACUAUGUCCCUCUAACUAUGCUUAAUGCUCUGUGAUGGGUUGAAUAAGACUGGCCCCAUAGACUCAUAAAUUUGAAUGUGUAAUCACUAGCAAAUGACACUAUUUGAAAGGAUUAUAAGGAUUAGUUAGGAGAUAUAACCUUAUUGUAGGCCAUGUGUCACUAGGGGUGGGCUUUGAAGUUUCAAAAACCCACACCAGGCCCAGUGUUCCUCUUUCUGCCUACAUAUCAGGAUAUAGCUCUCAGGUACUGUUCCAGUGCCUGCCUGUAAUGCUGUCAUGCUUGCUGCCAUGGAGAUAAUAGACUAAACCUCUGUAACUACAAACACAUUCUUAAUUAAAGGCUUUCUCUUAAAAGAGUUGCCUUGGUCAUGUUGUCUCUUCACAGCAAUAUAGUUGGAGCAAAGUGACUAAGACAUACCUGCCUCAGCGAUAGACACUGACUGCUGUUGGAGGGAGGUGCUGACUGCUCUACUUACUUCCUGCUUAGAGGAAACGGAAUCUAGAGAUAAAUAUAGCUCUCACUCCUCAUCAAAGAAGUGUAUUCUUGCAGAAAACAGACAAUUUCAGAGAACUGCACCUAGUCAAAAUGCAGCGAACAACUGAAUGUAAGGUGCCCAACCACCUCUCAAGUUCAUGGAACAUCAUAGAAGGAUGGAAAGAUUUAAAGAGCCAGAGAACCAGUAAGUUUACUGUAAGAUUGUGUCUACUAGAAGUGAAAGGGAAGCUAUACCAUUAAACCUCAAAAAUAUGCUUGCCAAAAAGGACUUGAAUAGUGGUCACACCAAUAGGCAUGCUUACUUUGAAGGAGGAAAUCUCAUGGGACCCCACCCCUAGACAAAGAACUACAGGUAAUGACUACAGAUAGUAACUGCUAGAAAAGGGAGAAUUCAUCUCCCCCCAGGGAUGAGCCCUUAAAUUGGUUAUCUACAAGUUAUCAACACUGGAAAAUCACACACACACAUGCACACACACACCAUUGAAUAGAUUCAGAAGAUUGUCUUUAUAUAUUUAUAUGUGUAUACAUAUAUGUCUAUAUAUUAAGGAAUGAUAAUUAAAGAAAAAGAGGACAUGGAUUUGAGAGAGAGUGAGCUAGGGCAGACAUGAGAGGUCUAGAAUGAGGAGAAGGAAAUUAUGUCAUUAUAUUAGAUCUUUAAAAAAAUUAUAGAAAAGAAAAAAGCAUUAUAGACGUGGCUCUCAUCUCCUGCAUUGCUUUUUGGUCUUUCAGAGAUAAUUCUAUCCUGGAGUUAAAUAGUUCCUUCUUUAUAUGCCUAUACCUUUAAUACUUGUAUAGUUAUUGUUAUCUAUAAACAUGAAUUUUUUGUAUGCUCUUGAACUUUACUUAAAAGGAACUAAGCAGGAAAAAUGGAACAGAAUUCAGAACAAUACAUUUUAAGCAAUUUCAAUUAUUAAACUGCUUCUUUUCUUUCCUUCCAUACCUCCAGGCUCCUCCCCUCCUCUCUUUUCCUCUGUCCAUCCAUACCUUUUCUUCAAUUCUCAAUUUCUUGCUGCCUUACUUUUCCUUAGUGAUGUGCAAAUAGCUGUGUGGUUGUUCACCUGUUUUCUUUAUUUGUAACCUCUUACCUAAAAUAUCUCUGUGCCAAUGGAAUACUUCUGUGCCAAAUCCUUGUACUUAAGAACAAGUCACUGGCAGCAACAUAGAGGUUUGCUGAAGUGUUUGCAUAUGCUGACUAUCCCAGCGUGUACCUAGGAGGGACUGGCCGGCCCUGGACAAGAUCCUUUUGCACUUUCCCAGGGAUCAUGUGUGCAUCUAGACUGUCUCUUAAGAGCAGGUUGGAAACAGGAAAGGUAUGCGCAUCAAUGUGUAUAAGGCUUAGAAUAUCUAAUGGAGAUAGUGCCUACAGGAAGUAGCUGUGCGCUACAGUGAAUAGCUGCUUACUGCUGCUGUCCUUUUCAGAAUGGACUUAGUCAUUUGGAGAUGGGUCAUAGUUCUUGAAUGAAGUCUGGCCAUAUGUCUGAGGUGACCCAGGAUGUGUCUUUGAUUUAUUAUAAAAUGGUCACUGGCCAGUGAGCAGCAUGUGGCAGGUAAGAAGGCCAAGGUCAGUGCUUGGCUUUGUGGGGCUGUGCAAUUGUCCCAUAUGUGGGAGCUGAUUCAUGACCCUGUGGGGAUGCAGGUGUCCAGAAAAAUACUUUUGAUGACCUAAUUUCGGGCAGUUGAAAGUGCCACAUUAUUGCUGAAAUGAGCUUUGGACAAGAGAAUGACUUUGUAUGUGCUUUCAGCCUUCUUUUCCACACUACUUCUUUUGCUGCUGUACCAGCAAUGGUGAAGAAAGAGGCAAUAUUUGACCUUCCAUGGGACAAAUCGGGAACAAUAGAGGUAUAACAAUCUAAAGCAUUUUAGAAGAUUCUUU
rnacentral:lncRNA from 1 species